rnacentral:rRNA from 1 species
GUGCCAGCAGCCGCGGUAAUACGUAGGUGGCAAGCGUUAUCCGGAAUUAUUGGGCGUAAAGCGCGCGUAGGCGGUUUUUUAAGUCUGAUGUGAAAGCCCACGGCUCAACCGUGGAGGGUCAUUGGAAACUGGAAAACUUGAGUGCAGAAGAGGAAAGUGGAAUUCCAUGUGUAGCGGUGAAAUGCGCAGAGAUAUGGAGGAACACCAGCGGCGAAGGCGACUUUCUGGUCUGUAACUGACGCUGAUGUGCGAAAGCGUGGGGAUCAAACAGGAUUAGAUA